rnacentral:rRNA from 1 species
GCGGCGUGCUUAACACAUGCAAGUCGAACGGGAUCCUUUCUAGCUUGCUAGGGGGGUGAGAGUGGCGAACGGGUGAGUAACGCGUGAUUAACCUGCCGUGUAGUUUGGAAUAGCUCCUGGAAACGGGUGGUAAUGCCGAAUGUUCCACAUGCUCGCAUGGGUGUGUGGGAAAACGUUUUAGUGCUAUGCGAUGGGAUCGCGUCCUAUCAGCUUGUUGGUGGGGUAGUGGCCUACCAAGGCUUCGACGGGUAGCCGGCCUGAGAGGGCGACCGGCCACAUUGGGACUGAGAUACGGCCCAGACUCCUACGGGAGGCAGCAGUGGGGAAUAUUGCACAAUGGGGGGAACCCUGAUGCAGCGACGCCGCGUGCGGGAUGACGGCCUUCGGGUUGUAAACCGCUUUUAUUGGGGAGCAAGCGUGAGUGAGUGUACCUUUUGAAUAAGCACCGGCUAACUACGUGCCAGCAGCCGCGGUAAUACGUAGGGUGCAAGCGUUGUCCGGAAUUAUUGGGCGUAAAGAGCUCGUAGGCGGUUUGUCGCGUCUGGUGUGAAAGUCCAUCGCUUAACGGUGGAUUGGCGCUGGGUACGGGCAGGCUAGAGUGUAGUAGGGGAGACUGGAAUUCUCGGUGUAACGGUGGAAUGUGUAGAUAUCGGGAAGAACACCAAUGGCGAAGGCAGGUCUCUGGGCUAUUACUGACGCUGAGGAGCGAAAGCGUG